GAGUGACAAAGUAGUUUAUGAGGAUCUGAAGUGGGGUACUUCAUAAAAUCUAGGUGCAGGGGAUUGGGAAAAGCACUUACCAGGAUCUAAAGAUAUAUUUUUUCCUCUAGGCUUCAAAAUAUGCCCCUGUAGUUGUCUGUCCAGUCCUGGAACUUAAUUUAGCACCUGUGACUUCCUUUCCGUAAGUGUCAUUUAAGUACCCUUAUAGAUUUCUUGUCAGGAAAUAUUCUAUUGUAAGGUCUAUUCCCCCUUUUCUGUUGAUGAAUUCUUUCUU
rnacentral:lncRNA from 1 species